rnacentral:rRNA from 1 species
GAUGAACGCUGGCGGCGUGCUUAACACAUGCAAGUCGAACGAUGAAGCCCAGCUUGCUGGGUGGAUUAGUGGCGAACGGGUGAGUAACACGUGAGUAACCUGCCCUUAACUCUGGGAUAAGCCUGGGAAACUGGGUCUAAUACCGGAUAGGAGCGUCCACCGCAUGGUGGGUGUUGGAAAGAUUUAUCGGUUUUGGAUGGACUCGCGGCCUAUCAGCUUGUUGGUGAGGUAAUGGCUCACCAAGGCGACGACGGGUAGCCGGCCUGAGAGGGUGACCGGCCACACUGGGACUGAGACACGGCCCAGACUCCUACGGGAGGCAGCAGUGGGGAAUAUUGCACAAUGGGCGCAAGCCUGAUGCAGCGACGCCGCGUGAGGGAUGACGGCCUUCGGGUUGUAAACCUCUUUCAGUAGAGAAGAAGCGAAAGUGACGGUACCUGCAGAAGAAGCACCGGCUAACUACGUG